GACGAACGCUGGCGGCGUGCUUAACACAUGCAAGUCGAACGGAAAGGCCCUGCUUUUGUGGGGUGCUCGAGUGGCGAACGGGUGAGUAACACGUGAGUAACCUGCCCUUGACUUUGGGGUAACUUCAGGAAACUGGGGCUAAUACCGGAUAGGAGCUUCUGCUGCAGAGUGGGGGUUGGAUAGUUUCGGCGGUUGGGGAUGGACUCGCGGCUUAUCAGCUUGUUGGUGGGGUAGUGGCGUACCAAGGCUUUGACGGGUAGCCGGCCUGAGAGGGUGACCGGCCACAUUGGGACUGAGAGACGGCCCAGACUCCUACGGGAGGCAGCAGUGGGGAAUAUUGCACGAUGGGCGGAAGCCUGAUGCAGCAACGCCGCGUGCGGGAUAACGGCCUUCGGGUUGUAAACCGCUUUCGCCUGUGGCGAAGCGUGAGUGACGGUAAUGGGUAAAGAAGCACCGGCUAACUACGUG
rnacentral:rRNA from 1 species